rnacentral:rRNA from 1 species
UAGGGAAUCUUCCACAAUGGACGAAAGUCUGAUGGAGCAACGCCGCGUGAGUGAUGAAGGGUUUCGGCUCGUAAAACUCUGUUGUUGGAGAAGAACAGGUGUCAGAGUAACUGUUGACAUCUUGACGGUAUCCAACCAGAAAGCCACGGCUAACUACGUGCCAGCAGCCGCGGUAAUACGUAGGUGGCAAGCGUUGUCCGGAUUUAUUGGGCGUAAAGCGAGCGCAGGCGGUUUCUUAGGUCUGAUGUGAAAGCCUUCGGCUUAACCGGAGAAGUGCAUCGGAAACCAGGAGACUUGAGUGCAGAAGAGGACAGUGGAACUCCAUGUGUAGCGGUGAAAUGCGUAGAUAUAUGGAAGAACACCAGUGGCGAAGGCGGCUGUCUGGUCUGUAACUGACGCUGAGGCUCGAAAGCAUGGGUAGCGAACAGGAUUAGAUACCCUGGUAGUCCAUGCCGUAAACGAUGAGUGCUAAGUGUUGGGA